rnacentral:rRNA from 1 species
UGGGGAAUAUUGGACAAUGGGGGCAACCCUGAUCCAGCCAUGCCGCGUGUGUGAAGAAGGCCUUCGGGUUGUAAAGCUCUUUUAGUCGGAAAGAAAGAGUUGCAAUGAAUAAUUGUGAUUUAUGACGGUACCGACAGAAAAAGCACCGGCUAACUACGUGCCAGCAGCCGCGGUAAUACGUAGGGUGCGAGCGUUAAUCGGAAUUACUGGGCGUAAAGGGUGCGCAGGCGGUUUUGCAAGUCAGAUGUGAAAGCCCCGGGCUUAACCUGGGAAUUGCGUUUGAAACUACAAGGCUAGAGUGCAGCAGAGGGGAGUGGAAUUCCAUGUGUAGCAGUGAAAUGCGUAGAGAUGUGGAAGAACACCGAUGGCGAAGGCAGCUCCCUGGGUUGACACUGACGCUCAUGCACGAAAGCGUGGGGAGCAAACA